AUGACCUCAAAGUGGUAAUUGAAGGCGACCUGCAAGAAUGAUGGUAUCAACUACUGGAACUAAUUUUUUCCUAUUCUCUGAAAUCUUUUAUUUAAGAUACUGUCAAUCAUGACGUAUAUUGGCUGGCUUUUACCGGAACUCUGAUCCAAGAUAUCCUUAAGAAGAGCAGAAGUGUGAACAUAAAGACCUGAUGAUGUACUUAUACGCCUUUUUAUUGCACUUUUAGCAUCAGGCCAAUGUGUUAAUGGCUCAGAAAAAAAUAUUUUAAGUCGACUAUUUUUGGAGGGAAACCUAUCACCAAACAAAUCAUAUGGUAAGCAAAAAGCACGAUUAAGACUUGGAGAAUACGAAAGCCAAAGAUAAUCCUUCAGCCAAUCAUGUCGAAAGGACCUACUGUGACCAUUUGCAUCAACAGUUUUAGGAACUUCAUAGCAUUCAUCAGGCAAAUCAGCAUUUGCAGUUUUAUUAUCCGGUAAUCGCAAGGUAGAAGAUGAAAUAGAAGAAGAAGCAUCACAAGGAACCAAAGCGCUACUGUGAGAUACACCAUAUGGAUGAGUCUUAGUUGUCAUGGUUGUCUCAGUAGGACCAGAAGUUCCAUUCCCACCAAGUAUCAAAGGCACAUAAUGAUUGUGUUUGAAUGCAGUUGCUUAAGGAGCUAAACCUUCAAAGCAAAACAAAACUCGCUAAUAAUUACUAGUGGAAGCACAAGCUCUAGAUAGAAUUUGAGGUUCAAUUCUUUGGUUAAAUAAUAAAUUCCACCUAUAAACACUA